GAUGAACGCUAGCGAUAGGCUUAACACAUGCAAGUCGAGGGGUAACGUGUUGGAAGCUUGCUUCCGAUGACGACGACCGGCGGAUGGGUGCGUAACGCGUAUGCAACUUGCCUCACAGUGGAGAAUAACCCGGAGAAAUCCGGACUAAUACUCCAUACACUCUUAAGUACGCCUGUACAUGAGAGGAAAGAUUUAUCGCUGUGAGAUAGGCAUGCGUCCUAUUAGGUAGUUGGUGAGGUAACGGCUCACCAAGCCGACGAUAGGUAGGGGUGCUGAGAGGCAGAUCCCCCACAUUUGGAAUGAGGCACGGACCAAACUCCUACGGGAGGGAGCAGUGAGGAAUAUUGGGCAAUGGAGGAACUCCGAACCAGCCCAGGCGGGUGAAGGAAGAAUGUCCUAAGGAUUGUAAACUUCUUUAGCGAGAGAGUAAGGACUUCCACGUGAUGGGAGUUUGAAAGUAGCUCGAGAAUAAGUAUCGGCUAACUCCGUG
rnacentral:rRNA from 1 species